CCCCCCCCCCCCGUUUAAUGGGCGUAUUCAUGCUCGGGUAUCACAUUUUAGGUCAAAGUUUAGCUCCUCAGACCUUUAAUUUCACCUUUCAGUCUGGUGUGAGAUUCAAGAGUUUUCUUGCAAAGUUCUAUCUACGAUCAACAGACUGGUAGUUCUACAGAGGUAAUAAACCGUACUUCAUUUAAUAGUCUUCAAAAGGACAAGUAGGGUAUUUUCUGUAAGUGCAGUAGCCGUGCAGUCAAAUGCAUUGUACCAGUAAGAUUUGGGCUUUUACAGGAAAGAAUGCAUUGUGCCGUUUGUUUUUUUAUCAAGAAACUCUUUUCUUCUUUUGGUUGAGUAUAUCAGACUAGGAUAAUCAUCUUACGUUUGAUGUUCUUAAUCUGCAAGCAGUGAAACCAUAUAAUAUAAUAUUCUUUGUAUGUGGACUUUAAAUGCAAAGUUGUAGCCAGUGAUUGCAUAUAUAACCUCUUAUAGAUUACAACAAUGGACUUAUCAAAGACGUAUGCUGAAGCAAGAAGCCACAGGAGCUAGGCAAUGGAAUAUUUUGUAUUAAUUUGGAACUGGACUUGUUCAUCACGCUGACUAUAUCAGUUUAAAUAUCGAGGUUGAAAGAAACUGAGACAUCUUUAUGGAUAGUUUGAUUGUGAGUUUUGCUGAUCCUGACGAACCUAUAGACUUAUAUUGACAAAAUGGGAGCAGCAUACAGUGUGAGAAAGGAGAGCUUUGACGACGGGCACAUGACCCGUAUGGAAGCGGUAAGUGAAAUGCUAUCAAGAUAUCAAUGUGUUAAUUUGUAUGGUGGUCUUUGUAAUAUAACAUUGUAACAGGAUGAAAACUCAUACAUUUACAAUCAAUAACAUUAUUGCUUAUAUAGCAAACUGCAGAAAUCAAACUGCUGAAAACUUAAGGUUAAAAAAAGAAAGAAAAUGCAAAACAGAGAAUAUAAACAGGUGAAAGGAUUUGUUAUUUUAUUUUAAGAAGUACAAAUGCCCUUUGAGUAAAACCCCUUAAUUAUUUUCUGAUAUAUUCAAAGAAAUGAAAUGGAAAGAAAUACAUAACAGGACAAUUUAUAUGAUUUAAAAACUAAAAACAUACUGUUCAACUUUACCUUACACAUGACAUUUAAUAAGAUAGAUGGAAAGCGAAAUUCAAUUUAAAGAAAUUCAUGGCAUUUCUAAAAGCUAUUUGCGGAAUUUGAGACAUGACUGAUGUUUUCACUUCCCCAUCAAUAGUCACAAGCUAUCUGCUUGGAUACAUUUGCAGAUAUAAAAUGACAGGUGUUAUUAUGAAGCUCUCAAAUCAUUUCAUGAAAUCCUUUGUAACCUCUUGUCUGAUUUUUAGGAUGUACAUUUACAAAUUUUUAAAAGCAAAUACGACC